rnacentral:lncRNA from 1 species
GCUUUAGUCAUAUUUCCAACUACACACUUAACCUUUUCGGGGGUCCUAUUACCCCCCUGAACCUUUUUAUUUUUAUAUUAUUUCACCCUCAGACGCUGAUGUGUCCACAUACGUGAACUCACCUUCGUGAGGCGCGUAACAACGUAAUAAAAUGUCCAUGUGGAGUCCAAAUAAUCCUCCCAACGGUAACUUUACUCUUUAUUUAACCCAUACAUUUAUUUUUCAUUCUUUUCUCAACUCAUUUAUCUCCAUCUCUUUUGUUCUUGAACAAAAGCUCUCUCUCUUCUUUGUUCUUCAUCCACCAUUUUCAAAGCUUGAAUUUAGUUGUUGUAUCUUCUCCAACUAAGAUUGAAUUUAGGGUUUGCAAUUUUCUCGAAUUUCAUAUUGAACAAUCAAAAUCUUCCCCAAUUCGACAGCUUGAUUUUGUUUUUUCACUUUGUGUUAUUAGGGUUAGUAAUGUCAAACUCAAAAUUGAAUAAGCUAUGCAUGGAAGAAUCAGACCCAAUGCUCAAAACCAUAGUACGAUGC